GAUGAACGCUGGCGGCGUGCCUAACACAUGCAAGUCGAGCGUGAACCGUCUGAAUGAAACUUCGGUCGAGUGAGGAUGGGGAAAGCGGCGGACGGGUGAGUAACGCGUAGGCAACCUGCCCCGUACAGAGGGAUAGCCUCGGGAAACCGGGAUUAAGACCUCAUAAUACCAUUAUCUCACAUGUGAUAAUGGUCAAAGAUUUUUAUCGGUAUGGGAUGGGCCUGCGUCUGAUUAGCUGGUUGGUGGGGUAACGGCUCACCAAGGCGACGAUCAGUAGCCGACCUGAGAGGGUAAUCGGCCACAUUGGAACUGAGACACGGUCCAAACUCCUACGGGA
rnacentral:rRNA from 1 species